UACGUAGGGUGCAAGCGUUGUCCGGAAUUAUUGGGCGUAAAGAGCUCGUAGGCGGUCUGUUGCGUCCGCUGUGAAAACCCGGGGCUUAACCCCUGGCUUGCAGUGGAUACGGACAGACUAGAGGUAGGUAGGGGAGAAUGGAAUUCCCGGUGUAGCGGUGAAAUGCGCAGAUAUCAGGAGGAACACCGGUGGCGAAGGCGGGUCUCUGGGCCGAUACUGACGCUGAGGAGCGAAAGCCAGGGGAGCGAACGGG
rnacentral:rRNA from 1 species